rnacentral:rRNA from 1 species
ACGGGGGGGGCAAGCGUUGUUCGGAAUUACUGGGCGUAAAGGGCUCGUAGGCGGCCAACUAAGUCAGACGUGAAAUCCCUCGGCUUAACCGGGGAACUGCGUCUGAUACUGGAUGGCUUGAGUUUGGGAGAGGGAUGCGGAAUUCCAGGUGUAGCGGUGAAAUGCGUAGAUAUCGGGAGGAACACCUGUGGCGAAGGCGGCCCCCUGGUUGGAUACUGACGCUGAGACGCGAAAGCGUAGGGAGCAAACAGGA